rnacentral:lncRNA from 1 species
AUGGAAACGAAAGUGUUCAUCUGUGUUCUGUGUGCCUGUUUGGUAACACUCUUAGUGCAUAAGACAUCACCAGCCCUAAUAAAUGAAGGCAUAUUUCUAUUAUACAAACCCUCUCAGCAAGGUCCUGAAGAUCCUGUUAAUGGAAGUAAUUACGAGCAGAUGACUAACCAUACCUUAAAUACAAAUACAACCCAAGAAAGUAUUCUGGAAAAGACCAUUGCGCCGAACCUUGCAGAGAACGAUGGGAAACAAAACUACACACAAGUCUCAAACACAACUCAAGGGUUACAAAAUCCCGAAGACAACUAAUGGUAAGUCAAAGUUUCAUGCUGUUCAAGUACAACACAUAAAAUUGCUUAGUUUUUUCAUGUUAUUUGUGAAAAGUUGUUUAACUCUCUUUUUUUUCCUCAGAUAAAAGACAAAAAAAGAACUGGAAAACAACCUGUUAAACAGUCAACCCUGAUGAAAUGGCAUGCUUUAAUGUUUGUUGAACAAAUUACCUUUGUAUUGUACACUGUGAAAAAUGCCAUACUCCAAUAGUCUCCAAUACUAAAAAAAAAUUUUUUUCUUGAAACUACAUAAAAACCCUUGUCAGUACAACAAAAUUACCCCAAAUGUUGCCCCAACUGAAGGCCCAUAUAGUGAAGUGUUUAACAGUUUUCUUUCACCAGAACGAUGGGAAACAAAACUACACACAAGUCUCAAGCACAACUCAAGGGUUACAAAAUCCCGAAGACAACUAAUGGUAAGUCAAAGUUUCAUGCUGUUCAAGUACAACACAUAAAAUUGCUUAGUUUUUUCAUGUUAUUUGUGAAAAGUUGUUUAACUCUCUUUUUUUCCUCAGAUAAAAGACAAAAAGAGAACUGGAAAACAACCUGUUAAACAGUCAACCCUGAUGAAAUGGCAUGCUUUAAUGUUUGUUGAACAAGUUACCUUUGUAUUGUACACUGUGAAAAAUGCCAUACUCCAAUAGUCUCCAAUACUAAAAAAAUUUUUUUUUCUUGAAACUACAUAAAAACCCUUGUCAGUACAACAAAAUUACCCCAAAUGUUGCCCCAACUAGUCAAACACAGUUGUCUGAACAAAGAAUUUCAUAUUGUUGAAAUGUUAAGGCUUUGUGAGUUCCCAGCAUGCAUUGCAGCAUGAAUAAAUUAUGCAGUUACUGUUAUAGGAUUAUUGUUUUGCUGUUUGCUGACUUCAUAAAAAAAUUUCUGUUGUUGUUUUAUCAUUAUUGUUAGUUAUUUAUUGUAUUGUGAUGUAAAGAGUUCAUCUUUUUAACAUUUGUUGGCUGUCACCAUUCUUAAGGUUAGUGUGUCUAGUUUUGAGGCCUAGAGUAUGCUCGCACAAUUUUACCCAUAAUGUGCAGGAGAUUGUCGCCGCCGCCGCCGCCUGUAAUACCAUGUUGUAGCUGGAGCAGAUCCAAUACGUAAUGGAUGUUUGACGAGCAUGCGCAGAUAUUGGAUGAUAGGGUUGUCAUUGAAGCUAGUAUUUAGUGUAAAUUAGACUGUAAUUUCGAGAUAUAGGUAUGUUUCAUAGAUUUACACAAAUUAUAUUAUACUGUGAUUUUAAACAAGUAGCGUAUUCAAACUUUAUUUAAGCGACGAUGGCUAGUUUUGAAUGAAAGGGUACGUAAGC